GAUGAAGAACGCAGCGAAAUGCGAAAAGUAAUGUGAAUUGCAGAAUUCAGUGAAUCAUCGAAUCUUUGAACGCACAUUGCGCCCGCCAGUAUUCUGGCGGGCAUGCCUGUUCGAGCGUCAUUUCAACCAUCAAGCCCCCGGCUUGUGUUGGGGACCUGCGGCUGCCGCAGGCCCUGAAAACCAGUGGCGGGCUCGCUAGUCACUCCGAGCGUAGUAAUACAUCUCGCUCAGGGCGUGCUGCGGGUUCCGGCCGUUAAAAGCCUUAUUUACCCAAGGUUGACCUCGGAUCAGGUAGGAAGACCCGCUGAACUUAAGCAUAUCAAUAAGCGGAGGA
rnacentral:misc_RNA from 1 species